AUCUUUGCUCUUGGGGCAAUGACGCAGUCAGUGAUUAGGCUAUACAGAGGUUCGACAAUUGCUGGUUGAAAACUAUUUCCAAUGCCCCCGUAGCCGUAGGCCUUGGCUUGUUCUGGACUUCGAGAAUUUCUUAAAGGGUCAAAGGAAU